AGACUUCUAAUUUAUUUGGGGUUUUCAUUUUGGUCAAUCGAGCCUUCGGAGCAUUUUUGCUUCGAUAACUCUGCAGUUUCCCCCUCUAUGGUAAGGGACUCAGAGUAAGGCGAGCUCCUUCAAGCGAAGCAAGGAACACUUGUAGCUAAAAGGUAGCAAAAUAAUUAACUCUUGUUUCCCCCCACCCGUGGUAAGGAACAGAGUAUAAAAUAAAAACAAAAAGGCACAAAAGAGUCUUUUAUGUUUUAAAUACAAGCACCAUUUAGGUUGCUGUAAUACCAUGGAAGAAAUGAUAUGGCAACCAGAAAAUAAGAAUAAAAUAAUUUUCUGGGGUCGAGAAAUCGGCUAAGAUAUUGUGUGGAAGUUACCCAGCCCUUGACGGAGAAAAGUAGAAGGAGGGACGACCUCACGGCAGCAACUACAAAUAAGUCUGCAACAACAACGACGGCCGCAGCGACGAUACAGAAACAGGCGGCAUCAGGAAAUCAUCCUAC